GACAUACUCCCUCCGUCCCAUAAUUCUUAUUUUAGAUUUGUCUUAAUACGGAUGUAUCUAAUAUUAAAACGUGACUUGAUACAUUCAUAUUUAGACAAAUCUAAGACAAAAAUUUUAGGACGGAGGGAGUAUGUG
rfam:Triticum aestivum genome assembly, contig: Triticum_aestivum_CS42_TGACv1_scaffold_526557_6DL